rnacentral:rRNA from 1 species
GUAGCUUGCUACCCGCUGACGAGCGGCGGACGGGUGAGUAAUGCAUGGGAAUCUGCCCGGUAGUGGGGGAUAACUCGGGGAAACCCGAGCUAAUACCGCAUACGUCCUACGGGAGAAAGCAGGGGAUCUUCGGACCUUGCGCUAUCGGAUGAGCCCAUGCCGGAUUAGCUUGUUGGUGAGGUAAUGGCUCACCAAGGCAACGAUCCGUAGCUGGUCUGAGAGGAUGAUCAGCCACACCGGGACUGAGACACGGCCCGGACUCCUACGGGAGGCAGCAGUGGGGAAUAUUGGACAAUGGGGGAAACCCUGAUCCAGCCAUGCCGCGUGUGUGAAGAAGGCCUUCGGGUUGUAAAGCACUUUCAGUGGGGAAGAAUGCCUUGUGGUUAAUACCCGCGAGGAAGGACAUCACCCACAGAAGAAGCACCGGCUAACUCCGUGCCAGCAGCCGCGGUAAUACGGAGGGUGCAAGCGUUAAUCGGAAUUACUGGGCGUAAAGGGCGCGUAGGCGGCUCGUCAAGCCGGAUGUGAAAGCCCCGGGCUCAACCCGGGAACGGCAUUCGGAACUGGCUGGCUAGAGUGCAGGAGAGGAAGGUGGAAUUCCCGGUGUAGCGGUGAAAUGCGUAGAGAUCGGGAGGAAUACCAGUGGCGAAGGCGGCCUUCUGGACUGACACUGACGCUGAGGCGCGAAAGCGUGGGUAGCAAACAGGAUUAGAUACCCUGGUAGUCCACGCCGUAAACGAUGUCGACCAGCCGUUGGACCCCUUGAGGGUUUGGUGG